rnacentral:lncRNA from 1 species
CUCUUUCCAGGGAUUGCUCCUCUUGGAGUUUUUUUCCGUGAGCCUACAACACAGGUAGCUGGUUAUAGGCAGUAGGAUGAUCUCCUCUUAGCUUACCUUCUCUGGAGCUGAACAAACCCAGUUCCCCAGCCUCUCCCACAGCGUCCUGUGCUUCAGCCCUCACCUAUCUUUGUGACCUCUUCUGGACACACUCCAGCAUGAAAAAAAGAUAAACUUCAGUACUUUGGGGAUCAACGUGGAAUAUCUGAGCAGAGAAACUGAAUUGCCUUUACUGUGAGGAACAAAGUCCAAAUUAUGUGUUUUCAGAUAAGUUAUAACUGUUCAGGACUAGUUCUACAGAAGAGAUGCACAUUCACACACUUAAAUGUUAUGCUACUAAUUUUUAUUGGGAUUUUCUAAAAUCUUUCUGCUUGGUACAUUCACAGAAAUUUAACAUGAUUUAUUCUAUAGGCUUUUCUACCUGUAAUCGUAUUAUCUAUGGAAAUGGUAGCCUUUACUUUUUAAUACGGUUUCCUUCCCCUUUGUUGCUCUAAAACAACAAAGCAGAACUCCAUGUAUCCUGCUCGGAUGUUGACUGGGUUCUCUUAUUAUCUGUAUUCACUGUUCAUGUUUUUGUUCUGUAUUAACUUUGCUCAGAUUUUAUCACUUGAGGCUGGCUCAGUUAAAAAUAAGUUUAGAAAUUUUAUUAAUCAGCGUCAUAUUGUGUGCAUCAUUCUCAGUUUGUAUAAUUUAAACUAGUACAUGAAAAAAUUAUUAAUAGUGUACAAUUUUUUAGUUGUACUAUUAUAUGAAGAUAAAUAUAUAGAUGUGUAUUACAGUAUUCUUUUAUCUGUAUUAUUCAGAACGGCAUUAAACAUUCAUAUAUUUUUGGGUGUACCUGGAGCUAUCUCAUCAAGCUAAUAAUUAGGCAUUAGGAAUAAACACCUGUCUCCAUGGCCUGGAGCUCCCAUUUUUUAUUGAAAUUUAUGCCAGAGAUGGUUUACACAUAUCCAUCCCUUUUGAAAGUGAAAGUGGAUUUACUAUAAUUCAUUUUUAGAGAAAAAACUUGAGUACAAAGUGCUUCUUCUCUCUCUUACUGUAACUUUUGAUGGUUGAAGAUUCUAAAAGUGGAGGGGUGUGGAGAAAAGAAUGGAAUAUAUGCGUAGAAAUCAGAUACUGGCAGUGAUAGAAAGAAUAUGUUUGAUUUGAAUGUUCCAAAGCACUUACAGGACUGACUAUAAUAUAUUCAAUUCACAUUCAAUUUUUAGAGUGCAUAUUUGUUGAGAAGAAAUGUCAGUAUAUGCUAUUUCUAUAAUUAGCCCUAUUGGUGUUUUUACUUCUAAUAGAGAAAUAAUGUCCAUAUUUUUGUAUUUGAAAACUGCUGACUUAAAAAUGUAAAAGUCUUUUCUGACGUGAAAAAAGAAAGAGGUAUUAAUUUUCUAUUGCAGUGUUGCCUGAAGAAAUACAAGUGCUCAAUUAAAUAUCUAAGACAAAUACAAC